rnacentral:rRNA from 1 species
AGCAGCCGCGGUAAUUCCAGCUCCAAUAGCGUAUAUUAAAGUUGUUGCAGUUAAAAAGCUCGUAGUUGAAUUUCGGGGUCAGUAGGUUGGUCAUGCCACUGGUAUGUACUGGUCUCACUGAUUCCUCCUUCCUGAUGAGCCGUAAUGCCAUUAAUUUGGUGUUGCGAGGAAUCUGGACUGUUACUUUGAAAAAUUAGAGUGUUUAAAGCAGGCUAACGCUUGAAUACAUUAGCAUGGAAUAAUGAAAUAGGACGUUCGAUCUUAUUUUGUUGGUUUCUAAGAUUGACGUAAUGAUUAAUAGGGAUAGUUGGGGGCAUUAGUAUUCAAUUGUCAGAGGUGAAAUUCUUGGAUUUAUUGAAGACUAACUACUGCGAAAGCAUUUGCCAAGGAUGUUUUCAUUAAUCAAAGAACGAAAGUUAGGGGAUCGAAGACGAUCAGAUACCGUCGUAGUCUUAACCAUAAACUAUGCCGACUAGGGAUCGGAUGAUGUUAAUUUUUUAAUGUACUCUA